AGAGUUUGAUCCUGGCUCAGAUUGAACGCUGGCGGCAUGCCUUACACAUGCAAGUCGAACGGCAGCACGGGUGCUUGCACCUGGUGGCGAGUGGCGAACGGGUGAGUAAUACAUCGGAACAUGUCCUGUAGUGGGGGAUAGCCCGGCGAAAGCCGGAUUAAUACCGCAUACGAUCUACGGAUGAAAGCGGGGGACCUUCGGGCCUCGCGCUAUAGGGUUGGCCGAUGGCUGAUUAGCUAGUUGGUGGGGUAAAGGCCUACCAAGGCGACGAUCAGUAGCUGGUCUGAGAGGACGACCAGCCACACUGGGACUGAGACACGGCCCAGACUCCUACGGGAGGCAGCAGUGGGGAAUUUUGGACAAUGGGCGAAAGCCUGAUCCAGCAAUGCCGCGUGUGUGAAGAAGGCCUUCGGGUUGUAAAGCACUUUUGUCCGGAAAGAAAUCCUUGGCUCUAAUACAGCCGGGGGAUGACGUACCGGAAGAUAAGCACCGGCUAACUACGUGCCAGCAGCCGCGGU
rnacentral:rRNA from 1 species